rnacentral:lncRNA from 1 species
AGGGAUGGGCACUUGGUUGAGGAAGCAGAAGCAUGGCGCAUGACUCUGGCCGCAGAGGACAAGGAGCUUUGGGCAGAGAAGGGCCUAUGGGUGCAGAGUUCAUCUGCUUGACAGGAGUGAACCGUUGAAACCCACGCUGGUGAUAAGGGAUUACGCAUCUGCCGCGCUCCGCUAACUAGCAAUUGGUGCUUGGACAAAGUGUCACCUUCGCCAAGGCACUGUCUCCCCAAGGAAGUCGCCUGCAAGCCUGAGUGCUUUGGUGACAUGAGGUCGCUGCUAGUCCCGUGUGUUUCCACCUGUGACAACGACUUUGGGGUUUCACUUUGUAGCUCUGACUAUCUUGGAGCUCACUCUGUAGGAGCAGGCUUGUCUUGAGCUCACAGAGAUCUACCUGACUCUGCAUUCCUAGUGCUAGAACUAAAGAACCCUUGGUCAAGAAAAUGUACUUUGCCAGGAAUGGUGGCACAUGCCUUUAAUCCCAGCAUUCAGAAGGAAGAGCAAAGCUUCAUUGUCUUGUGGAUAUGUAGAACCUACUAGGAACAUACAAGCUCUAAAUAAUGCCCAACUCUGCUGGAUGAAGCAUGAAGCCAGCCACUCUCAUCUUCUUCCACAAAACCAAAAACAACCCCCAAAACAAAUAAUGCUGAAAUUCUAAAUGGAAGAAAUAGAAGUAAAGAAAAAUGUAUCUAGUCCCUGGGCAGGAGCAUCACCUGGAAGGAUAUGGCAUUCUUUUUGGUGGGCCGAUUGAACGUGAUCUUCGUGAUACCAUCUUCAGAAGUUACCAGGAUGUCUUUGGACUCCCGGGCUUUCUCAUCAGCUCCACGCUUUCCCUGGCUCGGGGCUUCAGAUGAGGAACUCAAACUGGAUACGAGAUCCACAUAGUUCUGCCUGGCAGUUUCCUGAGGAGUAGAUGGCCAAGUCCUUCAGCCUUCAUAAUAAGCAAUUUGAGAAGCAUACUGUGCAAUAAAAACCACUAUGCAAC